AUAAAAGCAGGGAUCUAUUGCCAUUUGUGAAUUUAUCUCUCGUAAACACCAGGGAUAGAAGUUGUGCAAUGUUAUAUGGUGAACCACUUGACAUUUUCUUAUGAUUUGAUGGUUCAGUAAACAAUGCUACAUCC